GCAUCAGUGGGGUAGUGGUAACCUGGGUCGUUGCCACAUAAAAGACAUAAAUUGCGGGUUCGACCCGCCGGGGGUUCGAUUCCCUCCUGAUGCA